rnacentral:rRNA from 1 species
GAAAAGAAACUAACAAGGAUUCCCCUAGUAGCGGCGAGCGAAGCGGGAAGAGCCCGGGAUGAAAAUCUCUUCGGAGAGUUGUAGUCUGAGCUCCCUUGGGCGGUCAGUGUGGGUAAAUCGUCUGGGAUGACGUGCCAGGGAGGGUGAGAGCCCCGUCCACCCCACACAGGACCCGCCCGCACGAGGGCGCUUCAACCGAGUCGGGUAGCUUGGGAAUGCUGCUCCAAUUGGUGGUAAAUCUCAUCAAAGGCUAAAUAACGGUGGGAGACCGAUAGCGAACAAGUACCGUGAGGGAAAGAUGGAAAGAACUUUGAAAAGAGAGUGAAAAGCGCUUGAAACCGUCACGGGGGAAGCGGAUUGCGUGAGUGGUGGCCUGCACUGUUCAGCUCAAAAGUGGAGUGUAUUCUGUGCAUGCCGGGCGUGUGUGGCUGGGGUGCGUGCGACUUUUGGCACGCGUUCCUGGUGAGGGCUCCCUGCCUGUCAGGUGAGGACACACGCGAAAUGACGCAAUACGACCCGUCUUGAAACACGGACCAAGGAGUCUAGCACGGCUGCGAGUCGAAGGGUGUGAAAACCCAGAGGGCGCAGUGAAAGCGAAAGAAAGCAAAUUGGGGAGGCGUUGCGGUUCUACCAAAAUGUCCUACCUCGAGCACCUGUGCUGGGACCCGAAAGAUGGUGAACUAUGCCGGAGUAGGGCAAAGCCAGAGGAAACUCUGGUGGAGGCUCGUAGCGAUGCUGACGUGCAAAUCGCUCGUCGAACUUGGGUAUAGGGGCGAAAGACUAAUCGAACCAUCUAGUAGCUGGUUCCCUCCGAAGUUUCUCUCAGGAUAGCGGGCCGACGACAUGUUGUUUUGUGCGGUAAAGCGAAUGAUUAGUGCAUUUGGGGGCCGAAGGCCUUCAGGCGAUUCUCAAACUUUAAAUGCGCAAGGGGGCGGCUGCUUAAUUGAGCCUGCUCUUUGAAAAACGUCGGCCCUGUGGGCCACUUUUGGUAAGCAGAACUGGCGAUAAGGGAUGAACCUUAAGCACGGUUAAGGCGCCGCAUUGCCCGCUUAUAGACCCCACAAAAGGUGUUGAUUCAUCCAGACAGCAGGACGGUGGCCAUGGAAGUCGGAAUCCGCUAAGGAGUGUGUAACAACUCACCUGCCGAAUGAAUUAGCCCUGAAAAUGGAUGGCGCUGAAGCGGGCAGCCGACACCGUGCCGUUCGGGCGAGACGAAGCCCGGAUGAGUAGGAGGGCGUGGCGGUCAGUGACGCAGGCGUGGGUGCAGACCCCGCUGAAACGGCCGCUAGUGCAGAUCUUGGUGGUAGUAGCAAAUAUUCAAGCGAGAUCCUUGAAGGGCGAAGCGGGGAAGGGUUCCACGCGAACAUUGAUUGGGCGUGGGUGAGUC